rnacentral:lncRNA from 1 species
ACUAGACCAAUUAUAGUUAACACUUCAUAUCUUUGUACCCCUUGAUGUUCCCGAUGGGUAGAGAAACACAAGUGAUGUAUUUACUGUAAGAUCCCUUUUCUUAACAACUUAUCGUCCAACACACAACUCGGUUUCGGUACAGGUACAUCCCGCUCAAAACUAUCCCGCUCAACACUUAUGAUAUCCAAUACUCUCGAUCUCAAUCUGCUUAACCAAAGCAUCAUCACUAUCCUGAGCUCUGCGUAUCCUCCAUAAUAAAUCUGCCUGCUCCAAUGCUUCAAGACCACCAGUCUCUCCCUCUGCGGUAACUGCACACAAUCUGAGACUAGCAAGUGUCCCAGUCAGCUCCUGAACCUCCUUGGUUCCUGAAACAUCGUUCCUGCGUCUACUCAAGGCAUCUGCCACCUGAUUGGCAUUACCAGAUGGUAUGCAAUAUCCAAACUGUAGCCUGCUAUCAAUCCAACUACACUGUC